GAUGAACGCUGGCGGCGUGCCUAAUACAUGCAAGUCGAGCGAACAGACGAGGAGCUUGCUCCUCUGACGUUAGCGGCGGACGGGUGAGUAACACGUGGAUCACCUACCUAUAAGACUGGGAUAACUUCGGGAAACCGGCGCUAAUACCGGAUAAUAUAUUGAACCGCAUGGUUCAAUAGUGAAAUACGGUUUUGCUGUCACUUAUAGAUGGAUCCGCGCCGCAUUAGCUAGUUGGUAAGGUAACGGCUUACCAAGGCAACGAUGCGUAGCCGACCUGAGAGGGUGAUCGGCCACACUGGAACUGAGACACGGUCCAGACUCCUACGGGAGGCAGCAGUAGGGAAUCUUCCGCAAUGGGCGAAAGCCUGACGGAGCAACGCCGCGUGAGUGAUGAAGGUCUUCGGAUCGUAAAACUCUGUUAUUAGGGAAGAACAAAUGUGUAAGUAACGAUGCACGUCUUGACGGUACCUAAUCAGAAAGCCCCGGCUAACUACGU
rnacentral:rRNA from 1 species